rnacentral:rRNA from 1 species
UACCAGCACCCCGAGUGGUCGGGACGAUUAUUGGGCCUAAAGCAUCCGUAGCCGGUCAUGCAAGUCCUCCGUUAAAUCCACCUGCUUAACAGAUGGGCUGCGGAGGAUACUACAAGGCUAGGAGGCGGGAGAGGCAAGCGGUACUUAGUGGGUAGGGGUAAAAUCCGUUGAUCCAUUGAAGACCACCAGUGGCGAAGGCGGCUUGCCAGAACGCACUCGACGGUGAGGGAUGAAAGCUGGGGGAGCAAACCGG